AGAAGAUCUUGAGAUUGUUUAUACUACAAACGAAAAUAGGUACCAGGUUAUGUCAAAAGCUUAAAAUGGCCUUUAGGGUCAGGUGAGUUAAAAAAACAAAUUAAAUCAUUGCUCAUGAAGUUGACCAGUGCUAUAUAUCCCAAAAUUUAAACUUUGUGAAAUUAAUUCACUUUUCAGAAGAAAAAAAAACAACAAAAGACGCAAAGA
rnacentral:lncRNA from 1 species